AGGGGUGUAGCUCAGUGGGAGAGCACUUGCUUAGUGUGCAGGAGGCUCUGCAUUCAAUCCGCAGCACUGCCC
rnacentral:tRNA from 1 species